CCUACGGGUGGCAGCAGUGAGGAAUAUUGGUCAAUGGACGAGAGUCUGAACCAGCCAAGUAGCGUGAAGGAGGACUGCCCUAUGGGUUGUAAACUUCUUUUAUAUGGGAAUAAAAUGUUCCACGUGUGGGAUUUUGUAUGUACCAUAUGAAUAAGGAUCGGCUAACUCCGGGCCAGCAGCCGCGGUAAUACGGAGGAUCCGAGCGUUAUCCGGAUUUAUUGGGUUUAAAGGGAGCGUAGGUGGAUUGUUAAGUCAGUUGUGAAAGUUUGCGGCUCAACCGUAAAAUUGCAGUUGAAACUGGCAGUCUUGAGUACAGUAGAGGUGGGCGGAAUUCGUGGUGUAGCGGUGAAAUGCUUAGAUAUCACGAAGAACUCCGAUUGCGAAGGCAGUUCACUGGACUGCAACUGACACUGAGGCUCGAAAGUGUGGGUAUCAAACAGGAUUAGAUACCCGAGUAGUC
rnacentral:rRNA from 1 species